rnacentral:lncRNA from 1 species
GGCCACUGGGGACGAGUCAGUCCAGCAGUGGUUCAGCCCUGUCCUCAAAGCUUCCUCUCUACCCAGGCACCAACUGGUCUCCGCUGCCACCUCGCCUGCUGUUUGUGCUCCCCUACAAAACAGGCUUUAUUUAUCCCUGCUGUUCAGCUGGACCUCUUCGAGUGAUUCCUUUCGCAUGCUUAAACCCUUGUGUACACUGGAUGAAUGUGUCAGACAUCAAGCACAGACCUCGGCCCUGGCAGACUGACCUUAUCAUCAGUGUAACUUGCCUGACUUCAGCAGUGAAUCCCCUGACAGCAUUGUGGUCACUGUCACAGUCCCAUAAUGUUUGGCGCACUCUGCAAGCUGGAGUCCCCCAAG